AAAACUAGCCGUUACUGACCUUGGGAAGGACAAAAAGUACAUCUGCAGAACUAGCCGUUAUGCUUCAGCCCGUGUUUGGGUCGGCUCAACCUGUCCUUGGGUCGACCCAACUUUUACUUGGGUCGACUCAAACAUUCCUUGGGUCGACCCUCUCAGAAAACACAGAACCUUGAAAUUCAGCCUUCCUUCCCUUGGGUCGACCCAACCUUUCUUUGGGUCGACUCAAACCUUGGGUCAGCUCAAAC
rnacentral:lncRNA from 1 species